AUUGAACGCUAGCGGGAUGCUUUACACAUGCAAGUCGAACGGCAGCGCAGACUUCGGUCUGGCGGCGAGUGGCGAACGGGUGAGUAAUAUAUCGGAACGUACCCAGUAGCGGGGGAUAACUACUCGAAAGAGUGGCUAAUACCGCAUACGUCCUACGGGAGAAAGCAGGGGACCGUUCGGGCCGUUGCACUAUUGGUAGGCGGGCCGGAUAUCGGAUUAGCUAGUUGGUGGGGUAAAGGGACCGU
rnacentral:rRNA from 1 species